CUAUAUUUUUCGUGAUCAACAAAAUUUGAGUGCAAUUUAAAUUUAGCAAUUUCAUUAUUUAAAAAAGAAGAAAUUUCAUUGACAAUUUCGCGAGAAGAGAUGGUAGCUUGAACUUGUUUUGUAUAACAAAACAAGAUAAGUGUGUAUGAUUAAUAAUGCAAUUUCAAGUCCGAUAAUUAAUGUUUUAUUUUUUGAUAAGGCUUCAAAUAAUAUUCUUACAAAUUUAGAGAAUAAAUUGAAAUAUAUAAUGCAGCAGCAUUAGCACUAGCAAUUGCAUGAUAUAUCGUAUGAUAAUUUUGAAAUUGGGAUUCAACUGGAAAUGGAAAUAGAGAAUCGAAACCGUGUCCGAAAAUAUUCGUUCAAAUUUCUAACGAGUUUCCAAAGUUUUUUUAUUCAAAUGCAGUUUUUACUCCUGGAAAACACUUUUUUGAAAAUGAUAUAUAAUCAUUUUCUACUUUUUCAAUAAUUUUUAUUCACAGAAAUGUUUUUGAAAAAUAAUCAGUUAUAUAUAAAAUAUAUAAACACAUACAAAAAUGAUCAAGCAAUAUCACUAUACUUGGGAGAACUAUCAUUAACAAUACAUUAAAUGUAUAAACGACCGUUUGGUGGCGACACGAACAAAGGAGUGUAAUUUUAGACUUUAGAGAGCGUGGAUUGUUGGAGAAGAGGUGAAAAUGAAUUUUUCAAAACAUUAGGAACGACAAUUACAAAUGAAAAUACCGAUGAUAUUUUACAGCGUGGCAUUAUUUCGAGGAGUGCGAUAACCAAACUUUUACGCAACCGGUGCUGAACGUUAUUGCUCUGAUGUUGCGUUGUUGAGCGGAUGACUAUAGCGUUAUAUGAACACACUCGAUGCUCGCCAUUUUUGUGUCGUGCGAAACGGUUAAGCUCGUUAAAUUAAACGACCUUAAAACAUUUCGUGUGUCGUAAACGAUGCAAAUGCGAAUGGAAAAAACAUGGGAUGAAAAGAUCGGUCGAUUUGGCCAAUGUUCGAAACAACGUGAAACUCGAACGGCGGAUUUUCGAGGCCAGUUCCGUUCGAACGAUACACGUUUUAGUUACACCGGAUGCACCGGAUGAGUAGAGGGCAGAACCGUAAAGCCGAUCGAGCCGAAAUUGAGUGAAAAGUUUAUGUUUUUUUUUUAUAUGGAAGAGUUUUUUUCUUCUUCUUCUUUCUUUUUUCUUUUCCAGAGAAUUUCGCGUGAAUAUGAAUUCAGGGAGGCAGCCAAUUAGCGAAAUGGAAGGUUGACCAAUGAGAUUCGACGCCUCGGGUGUUGGUGUCUUCGACGCUCUAUGUUUUUAUUGAGAAAUCGCGCGUACUGUCGUCAAAUUCAGAUGGAUAUUUGAACGAGAAUUGUCCACAGAAUUCGUCUGAAACGGGCUGCCUUGCACAAAUAUAUCGAGGAUAAUUGGAAAAUUUCUUUUUCUCGUAAAAAAUCAUGCUUUAAUUCAUGCUUCGAUUCGACCGGUUCUGCGAUUUUCUUUUCUUCCAUUAUCAUUUAGUCGAAGAAGUUUAAUUAAUUCGAUAUUAUUUGAUACGCUCGAUAUAUAUUUCUCUUAUAAUGUUUCAAUAUUAUUUUUUUCAAUAUUCAUUAUCGGUGAAAAAAUUGAAUGAGUCCGGGGAAACAGGAAAAUGGUGGAAAAUUCAUUUGUUACAAUUCAUGGAGGUUUAAAGGAGACGAAAGAGAAAAAGAAUGAGAAACUAAUAGAAUGUAUUUGUCUUUCAAUGUUUUAUAUAUCAUAUGGAAUAUUGGAAAUAUUUUAAUUAUUUUAGGUACGUUUUGGAAGAUGGGGAAUUGGAUCAGCAAUUAGAUCUUUAAGAUGUAAAGAAAUACAUAAAAUGUUACUUAAUAGUAACAUCGUGAGCAAUUGUGUUUUUAAUUACAUCGAUAAUUAAUUUAAAAAUGAACUAAUUAUGUUUAUUACAUGUUUAAAUUAAUACAACGUUUAUGAUUAUAGUUAAAUCUUACAUGUCAUAUACAAUUAAUAAUAAUUAAUAACAUGUAUUAAA
rnacentral:lncRNA from 1 species